AAAACUUUCAACAACGGAUCUCUUGGCUCUGGCAUCGAUGAAGAACGCAGCGAAAUGCGAUAAGUAAUGUGAAUUGCAGAAUUCCGCGAAUCAUCGAAUCUUUGAACGCACAUUGCGCCCAGCAGUUACUCUGCUGGGCAUGCCUGUUCGAGCGUCAUUUCACCCCUCAAGCCUUUUUCUAGUGCUUGGUGUUGGGAGACCAAGGGCCUUUUUUGGCCGCUGGCUCUUGAAAUCUAUUGGCAACAUUCCGCGCGCUGGUUGCUCCCUUGCGUAGUAAUUAUCUACAUCGUAUCGGGCCCCGCAUAGAAGAAGCCACUAAAAACCUUAAUUUAACUACAAAGGUUGACCUCGAAUCAGGUAGGAAUACCCGCUGAACUUAAGCAUAUCAAUAAGCGGAGGAAAAGAAACCAACAGGGAUUGCCCUAGUAACGGCGAGCGAAGCGGCAACAGCUCAAAUUUGAAAUCUGGUCUUCUGGGCCCGAGUUGUAAUUUGCAGAGGAUGCUUCUGGCAAGGUGCCUUCCGAGUUCCCUGGAACGGGACGCCAUAGAGGGUGAGAGCCCCGUACGGUUGGACACCGAGCCGUUGUGUAGCUCCUUCAACGAGUCGAGUAGUUUGGGAAUGCUGCUCUAAAUGGGAGGUAUAUCUCUUCUAAAGCUAAAUACCGGCCAGAGACCGAUAGCGCACAAGUAGAGUGAUCGAAAGAUGAAAAGCACUUUGAAAAGAGAGUUAAACAGCACGUGAAAUUGUUGAAAGGGAAGCGCUUGUGACCAGACUUGUGCCCGGUGAAUUAGCUGGUGUUCUCACCAGUCGACUUUGCCGGCUCAGGCCAGCAUCGGUUUGUUAUUGGGGAGAAAAACGAUGGGAAUGUGGCUCCUUCGGGAGUGUUAUAGCCCGCCGUAUAAUACCCUUUGGCAGACCGAGGACCGCGCAUCUGCAUGGAUGCUGGCGUAAUGGUCACCAGCGACCCGUCUUGAAACACGGACCAAGGAGUCAACCUUAUGUGCAAGUGUUUGGGUGUUAAACCCCUACGCGGAAUUAACGUGAACGUAGGUGAGAGCCUUCGGGCGCAUCAUCGACCGAUUCUGAUGUUCUCGGAUGGAUUUGAGUAAGAGCACACAGGGUUGGACCCGAAAGAAGGUGAACUAUGCUUGUAUAGGGUGAAGCCAGAGGAAACUCUGGUGGAGGCUCGCAGCGGUUCUGACGUGCAAAUCGAUCGUCAAAUAUGAGCAUGGGGGCGAAAGACUAAUCGAACCUUCUAGUAGCUGGUUCCAGCCGAAGUUUCCCUCAGGAUAGCAGUGUUGAUCUCUCAGUUUUAUGAGGUAAAGCGAAUGAUUAGGGACUCGGGGGCGCUAUUUAGCCUUCAUCCAUUCUCAAACUUUAAAUAUGUAAGAAGCCCUUGUUACUUAGCUGAACGUGGGCAUUCGAAUGUGCAACACUAGUGGGCCAUUUUUGGUAAGCAGAACUGGCGAUGCGGGAUGAACCGAUCGCGUGGAUAAGGCGCCGGAGUGGACGCUCAUCAGACACCACAAAAGGCGUUAGUACAUCUUGACAGCAGGACGGUGGCCAUGGAAGUCGGAAUCCGCUAAGGACUGUGUAACAACUCACCUGCCGAAUGUACUAGCCCUGAAAAUGGAUGGCGCUCAAGCGUCCCGCCCAUACCACGCCCUCGGGGCAGGAACGAUGCCCCGAGGAGUAGGCUGGCGCGAGGGUCAGUGACGAAGCCUAGGGCGUGAGCCCGGGUCGAACGGCCCUCGGUGCAGAUCUUGGUGGUAGUAGCAAAUACUUCAAUGAGAUCUUGAAGGACCGAAGUGGGGAAAGGUUCCAUAUGAACAGCGGUUGGAUGUGGGUAAGCCGAUCCUAAGCCAUAGGGAAGUUCCGUUUCAAAGGGGCACUGCGCCCCGUAUGGCGAAAGGGAAGCUGGUCAAUAUUCCAGCGCCUGGAUGUGGGUUUUGCGCGGCAACGCAACUGAACGUGGAGACGACGGCGGGGGCCCUGGGCAGAGUUAUCUUUUCUUUUUAACAGUCUCGCGACCCUGGAAUCGGUUUGUCCGGAGAUAGGGUUCAAUGGCUGGAAGAGCCCAGCACUUCUGCUGGGUCCGGUGCGCUCUCGACGUCCCUUGAAAAUCCACGGGAGGGAAUAAUUCUCACGCCAGAUCGUACUCAUAACCGCAGCAGGUCUCCAAGGUGAACAGCCUCUGGUUGAUAGAACAACGUAGAUAAGGGAAGUCGGCAAAACAGAUCCGUAACUUCGGGAAAAGGAUUGGCUCUAAGGACUGGGAGCGUUGGGCUUUUAGGCGAAACCAUAGGGGCAGGCAGCUUCCAGCUUUACGGCCGGGGGCCGCCAGCACUUGCGGUGGACUCUAUUUGCAGGCUUCGGCCGUCCGGCGCUCAGUUAACAGUCAACUUAGAACUGGUACGGACAGGGGGAAUCUGACUGUCUAAUUAAAACAUAGCAUUGCGAUGGCCAGAAAGUGGUGUUGGCGCAAUGUGAUUUCUGCCCAGUGCUCUGAAUGUCAAAGUGAUGGAAUUCAACCAAGCGCGGGUAAACGGCGGGAGUAACUAUGACUCUCUUAAGGUAGCCAAAUGCCUCGUCAUCUAAUUAGUGACGCGCAUGAAUGGAUCAACGAGAUUCCCACUGUCCCUAUCUACCAUCUAGCGAAACCACAGCCAAGGGAACGGGCUUGGCAGAAUCAGCGGGGAAAGAAGACCCUGUUGAGCUUGACUCUAGUUUGACAUGGUGAAAAGACAUGAGAGGUGUAGGAUAGGUGGGAGCUUCGGCGCCAGUGAAAUACCACUACUCUCAUUGUUUUUUUACUUACUCAUAAGCGGGGCUGGACUCUUGUCCAACUUCUGGCGUUAAGGUCCUUCGCGGGCCGACCCGGGUUGAGGACAUUGUCAGGUGGGGAGUUUGGCUGGGGCGGCACAUCUGUUAAACCAUAACGCAGGUGUCCUAAGGGGGGCUCAUGGAGAACAGAAAUCUCCAGUAGAACAAAAGGGUAAAAGUCCCCUUGAUUUUGAUUUUCAGUGUGAAUACAAACCAUGAAAGUGUGGCCUAUCGAUCCUUUAAACCCUCGAGAUCUGAGGUUAUAGGUGCCAGAAAAGUUACCACAGGGAUAAACUGGAAGAUGUUUCUGUAAUAUCUAAAUUACUGUCCCAGGCGGCCAUGCAGUUUGACAGCAGCCGUCUAGUCCGAUGCCCUCUGGAUAGCGCUGGGGGGCAUUGCUGUAAGUUUUUAUAAUGGUAGCUACAGCAGGUAGGGAAAGA
rnacentral:rRNA from 1 species